CAGCCUGAACGGAAUGCUAGGUGUAAUUUGAACAUUUGUGUGUUACUUUUUUCUAUUUAUAUGAAUUAUACACAUUUCUUUCUAGCUGUAAAAUGAAAAUCGUACCAGUCAAUUUCAAGUUAUCUGGAUUUUCCCAUGAUUCGCACAUGUGAAGGCAUUUCAUUGAAGGAUUUGCAAUGAGACAGUAACGCAUAGCUUCGCGGUGCCUCUCAGAGCCUUGACUGAUGACACGUUACCGAAGUUGAUCUCUUAAAAAACAAUACAUUGAAAUCCAUGCAAGGCGAAGAAUAUUGUGGAAAGGUUCAUUGCUGUACAUAAAGGUCACUGACCUAUUGUACGCGAAGAGGAGAAGAGUUGCUACAGCCCAAGGAAGAUGGGAAGAGUCCC